rnacentral:rRNA from 1 species
UACGAAGGGUGCAAGCGUUACUCGGAAUUACUGGGCGUAAAGCGUGCGUAGGUGGUUGUUUAAGUCUGUCGUGAAAGCCCUGGGCUCAACCUGGGAAUUGCGAUGGAUACUGGGCAACUAGAGUGUGGUAGAGGACAGUGGAAUUUCCGGUGUAGCAGUGAAAUGCGUAGAGAUCGGAAGGAACAUCUGUGGCGAAGGCGACUGUCUGGGCCAACACUGACACUGAGGCACGAAAGCGUGGGGAGCAAACAGG